CCUACGGGGGGCUGCAGUGGGGAAUAUUGGGCAAUGGGCGAAAGCCUGACCCAGCGACGCCGCGUGGGUGAUGAAGGCCUUCGGGUUGUAAAGCCCUGUCAUGCGGAAAGAACAGUCUUACGGUUAAUACCCGUGAGAUUUGACGGUACCGCAGGAGGAAGCACCGGCUAACUCCGUGCCAGCAGCCGCGGUAAUACGGAGGGUGCAAGCGUUGUUCGGAAUUGUUGGGCGUAAAGGGCACGUCAGAUGUGAAAUACAUCGGCUAAACUGAAGAACGGCAUCUGAAACGUCAUAACUAGAGUACAGAAGAGGGAAAUGGAAUUCCCGGUGUAGAGGUGAAAUUCGUAGAUAUCGGGAGGAACACCAGUGGCGAAGGCGAUUUCCUGGUCUGAUACUGACGCUGAGGCGUGAAAGUGUGGGGAGCAAACAGGAUUAGAUACCCCUGUAGUC
rnacentral:rRNA from 1 species